AUCGGUUUACUGGGCGUAAGCGCGCGUAGGCGGCUAAUUAAGUCAAAUGUGAAAUCCCCGAGCUUAACUUGGGAAUUGCAUUCGAUACUGGUUAGCUAGAGUGUGGGAGAGGAUGGUAGAAUUCCAGGUGUAGCGGUGAAAUGCGUAGAGAUCUGGAGGAAUACCGAUGGCGAAGGCAGCCAUCUGGCCUAACACUGACGCUGAGGUGCGAAAGCAUGGGGAGCAAACAGGAUUAGAUACCCUGGUAGUCCAUGCCGUAAACGAUGUCUACUAGCCGUUGGGGCCUUUGAGGCUUUAGUGGCGCAGCUAACGCGAUAAGUAGACCGCCUGGGGAGUACGGUCGCAAGACUAAAACUCAAAUGAAUUGACGGGGGCCCGCACAAGCGGUGGAGCAUGUGGUUUAAUUCGAUGCAACGCGAAGAACCUUACCUGGCCUUGACAUAGUAAGAACUUUCCAGAGAUGGAUUGGUGCCUUCGGGAACUUACAUACAGGUGCUGCAUGGCUGUCGUCAGCUCGUGUCGUGAGAUGUUGGGUUAAGUCCCGCAACGAGCGCAACCCUUUUCCUUAUUUGCCAGCGAGUAAUGUCGGGAACUUUAAGGAUACUGCCAGUGACAAACUGGAGGAAGGCGGGGACGACGUCAAGUCAUCAUGGCCCUUACGGCCAGGGCUACACACGUGCUACAAUGGUCGGUACAAAGGGUUGCUACCUAGCGAUAGGAUGCUAAUCUCAAAAAGCCGAUCGUAGUCCGGAUUGGAGUCUGCAACUCGACUCCAUGAAGUCGGAAUCGCUAGUAAUCGCGGAUCAGAAUGCCGCGGUGAAUACGUUCCCGGGCCUUGUACACACCGCCCGUCACACCAUGGGAGUUUGUUGCACCAGAAGUAGCUAGCCUAACUGCAAAGAGGGCGGUUACCACGGUGUGCGAUGACUGGGGUGAGAAAAGGGGGGUUUUUUUCGGGAGAUAUAAGGUCUCCCUCUCUGGUACAGGUUUA
rnacentral:rRNA from 1 species